UGAGGAAGUAAAAGUCGUAACAAGGUUUCCGUAGGUGAACCUGCGGAAGGAUCAUUAACGAAUAACUAUGGUGUCUUGGUUGUAGCUGGCUCCUCGGAGCAAUGUGCACGCCCGCCAUUUUUAUCUUUCCACCUGUGCACCGACUGUAGGUCUGGAUACCUCUCGCCCUUCACGGGGCGGAUGCGAGGGUUGCCCGUCACACGGCUCCCCUCGAAUUUCCAGGCUCUACGUCUUUUUACACACCCCAAUAGUAUGAUGCAGAAUGUAGUCAAUGGGCUUCUCAGCCUAUAAAACACUAUACAACUUUCAGCAACGGAUCUCUUGGCUCUCGCAUCGAUGAAGAACGCAGCGAAAUGCGAUAAGUAAUGUGAAUUGCAGAAUUCAGUGAAUCAUCGAAUCUUUGAACGCACCUUGCGCUCCUUGGUAUUCCGAGGAGCAUGCCUGUUUGAGUGUCAUUAAAUUCUCAACCUCACCAGUUUUCUGAACUGUUCUUCGAGGCUUGGAUGUGGGGGUUUGUGCAGGCUGCCUCACGGCGGUCCGCUCCCCUGAAAUGCAUUAGCGAGUUCAUACUGAACUUCCGUCUAUUGGUGUGAUAAUUAUCUACGCCGUGGACGAGGAUCAGACUCGCUUCUAACCGUCCGCGAGGACAAUACCUUGACAAUUGACCUCAAAUCAGGUAGACAGCCGUCG
rnacentral:rRNA from 1 species